GGGUUUGGGCGCGGUGGGAUCUUACCGAGUUACACUCCCAAACCCAAUGUGAAGUUACCAAACUGUUGCCUCGGCGGGGUCACGCCCCGGGUGGGUAAAAGCCCCGGAACAUGCGCCCGCCGGAUGGACAACCAAAAUCUUUAUUGAGUACCCUCGCGUCGUAUUUCUAAAGCUGAGAGCUAAAAUUCAAAACGAAUAAAAAUUUUCAAUAGAGAUCUCUUGUUCAACGGCAUCGAUCAUUGUUUAGCGAAAUGCGAUAAGUAAUGUGAUUUGCAGAAUUUAAUGUGAAAUGGAAAAUUCGAGGCACAUCGCGUCUUUGAGUAUUCUGGCGGGCAUGAUGUCCGAGCGUCAUUGAACGUUCGAACGCCUCUGGGGGAUGGCGUUGGGGAUCGGGCCCCUCACCGGGUGCCGGCCCUGAAAUACAGUGGCGGUCUCGCAGCAGCCUCUCCUGCGCAGUAGUUUGCACAACUCGCACCGGGAGCGCGGCGCGUCCACGUCCGUAAAACACCCAACUUCUGAAAUGUUGACCUCGGAUCAAGUAGGAAUACCCGCAGAACUUAAGCUUAAAUGAGGGAGAGAAAUGA
rnacentral:rRNA from 1 species